rfam:Picea glauca, whole genome shotgun sequence.
UAAUAUUAAUUAACCUUGUCAAAACUAGUAUGGACAAGGGAAAUCCGUCUGGUUAAUUAAAACAAAUCAUUGUGAUGGUCCCCACGGAUGCUAACACAAUGUGAUUUAUGCCAAGUGCUUUGCAUUUCAAAGUGAAGAAAUUCAACCAAGCAUGGGUAAAUGAAUAGAGUAACUAUGAAUAUCUUAAGGUAGUUAGAUGCCUAUGUGUCAUAUAAUUAUUAACACACAUGAAUGGAUUAACAAUAUUCCCACCAUCCCAAGCUACUAUCUAUAGAAACCACAACCAAGGGAACUAUUGG